rnacentral:rRNA from 2 species
UGGGCAAUCUGCCCUGCACUCUGGGACAAGCCCUGGAAACGGGGUCUAAUACCGGAUGAUACUUCUUCCCGCAUGGGGGGAGGUUGAAAGCUCCGGCGGUGCAGGAUGAGCCCGCGGCCUAUCAGCUUGUUGGUGGGGUGAUGGCCUACCAAGGCGACGACGGGUAGCCGGCCUGAGAGGGCGACCGGCCACACUGGGACUGAGACACGGCCCAGACUCCUACGGGAGGCAGCAGUGGGGAAUAUUGCACAAUGGGCGAAAGCCUGAUGCAGCGACGCCGCGUGAGGGAUGACGGCCUUCGGGUUGUAAACCUCUUUCAGCAGGGAAGAAGCGAAAGUGACGGUACCUGCAGAAGAAGCGCCGGCUAACUACGUGCCAGCAGCCGCGGUAAUACGUAGGGCGCAAGCGUUGUCCGGAAUUAUUGGGCGUAAAGAGCUCGUAGGCGGCUUGUCACGUCGGAUGUGAAAGCCCGGGGCUUAACCCCGGGUCUGCAUUCGAUACGGGCAGGCUAGAGUGUGGUAGGGGAGAUCGGAAUUCCUGGUGUAGCGGUGAAAUGCGCAGAUAUCAGGAGGAACACCGGUGGCGAAGGCGGAUCUCUGGGCCAUUACUGACGCUGAGGAGCGAAAGCGUGGGGAGCGAACAGGAUUAGAUACCCUGGUAGUCCACGCCGUAAACGUUGGGAACUA